CCUGAAUCUCACUCAUAUUACAUGACUGAAUGACUGGGACGAUUCACUCUAUUUCUAUUCUCACCCUUUCACUCUUUCUGCAGAUGAUUACUUGCUGCCACUUGUAGAGCAAAUCCACCCAACAGAGGCGAAUAAGAUCACCUGGAUGCUUGUGUCUGGUGAGAAUAACUAUAACAUCAUGAACAUGAUCAGCGAUCCAGAGCUUCUGUGUGCCAAGGUGGAUAAAACGGACAAGGCGAGGGAAGCUGGUCUCAAGCCGGAAACCUUGAAGAUGUUAUUUAAGGACUGCAGCACGAAGAAGAGAAAGAGAAAGAAGAGAACAAAUAAAUAAACUUUGU